CUUGGUCAUUUAGAGGAAGUAAUCUUUGACGUUCUAUCUCCAUCGUCCUCGGGACGUUAAGGCGCUCUGGUCGAGGAUAAACGACCCCUCUGACCGAGGUUAAACGGUCGCCAGUCUGUGUUACCUCCUCGGAGGCACACGUUAAAGAUCGUUCCGCGUUGUGAGUACUAACACCAGUUGUAAACUUUACAACCGGCAGCGCUGGAUCCCUUGGCACGUCGCCCGAUGAAGACCGUUGCAAAUUGCGAUAAAGUGAUGUGAUGCGCAAGUCCACCACUUAUACGUGCCUCAUCGAGUUCAGGAACGCAUUGCAUUGCGCCCUAAACCGGCUGCGGUAUGCCCCUUUGAGCGUCAUUGUAUUCCUUCGGGAGUCUUUCCUUGCGGAAAGACCCGAGCUCGGAGUCCUCGGUCCUUUGGAUCGUGUUCUCUCAGAUGCGUCGCGCCGAUCGCCUGAUGGGUACUCUAAUGCCUGAGCGUGGAGUCCCUUCAGUUCGAGACGCGCUUGACCGGCCGUUGGGCUCGCGUCACCAAGUCCGCGUGGGGUAGGACAACCCGCUAGACUUAAGCAUAUCAAUAAGCGGAGGA
rnacentral:rRNA from 1 species